GAUGAACGCUGGCGGCGUGCCUAAUACAUGCAAGUCGAGCGAAUGGAUUAAGAGCUUGCUCUUAUGAAGUUAGCGGCGGACGGGUGAGUAACACGUGGGUAACCUGCCCAUAAGACUGGGAUAACUCCGGGAAACCGGGGCUAAUACCGGAUAACAUUUUGAACCGCAUGGUUCGAAAUUGAAAGGCGGCUUCGGCUGUCACUUAUGGAUGGACCCGCGUCGCAUUAGCUAGUUGGUGAGGUAACGGCUCACCAAGGCAACGAUGCGUAGCCGACCUGAGAGGGUGAUCGGCCACACGGGGGCUGAGACACGGCCCAGACUCCUACGGGAGGUAGCAGUAGGGAAUCUUCCGCAAUGGACGAAAGUCUGACGGAGCAACGCCGCGUGAGUGAUGAAGGCUUUCGGGUCGUAAAACUCUGUUGUUAGGGAAGAACAAGUGCUAGUUGAAUAAGCUGGCACCUUGACGGUACCUAACCAGAAAGCCACGGCUAACUACGUGCCAGCCGCCGCGGUAA
rnacentral:rRNA from 1 species